GAAAUUAACAAAAACAAAAUCCCAUGCGAUUUUUACAUUGGAUUCUAUAUACUCUAUCGAAGAAAAGGAAAAAACAAAGUGGCGGGAGGAGAAUUAGAAUCUGCGAAGCAACUAGACCAGACACCAACAUGGGCAGUGGCAUUAGUUUCUGCGGUAAUCAUUUUAAUCUCCAUAGAGCUGGAAAAAAACUCUUCAUAAGUUCGGAGAGGUUAUUUUUCUUCGUAUUUUUUUGUGUAUUUAGGAACGGUAGUUUUGCUGCUUUUAAAAUGUGUCCUUUUAAUGUUAAAUUAUAUAACUAGACAGUUAUUUUCUAAUUGAUUCUGAUUGGGAAUGUGGGAUUGUUUUGCUAGACGACAAUGGAAAAAACGUAGUUGAAGGAGCUUGUUUGGGUGUUUGAUCAAGGAAAAGAUGGGGGGAUUCUUUUAUUUUCUGUUACAGGACGAAUAUGGAUUCUUGUGUUGUAUUUUCAGAAUUCAGAAUUUCACAAUUUUAGGCCGGAUUGACUUGAAAAUCGAUUGAUUUGCGAAUAAUUUCUACACUGUUUCCACUGUACUUUGAAUGAAAAAUAAUAAACCCUUGAUUUUUUAGAGUCAUUUAUUUGCUUUUUGACUCACCUUUUACUUCAUAAUUUACUUUUUCAGAGGUACUGGUUCUAGGCUUCAUUUCCCUUCUUUUUGACGUUUGGACAAAACUACAUUUCCAAAAUCGGUAUAACUGAAAGAAUUGGGUAUACUAUGUUGCCAUGUCAUUGUCAAAACUUCGUGUAUCUUGCUAAUUUCUUAUAGUGUUAACUGCUUGAAUAAAUCAAAUCUUUUAGAAUAGACUAAGUCAGUAUUGAGUUGUCAAUAAAAGAGUCAUACUAGGCUUUAUUUAACAGAUUAUAUCUGAAUAUUUUUAUUGAAGUUUGCUAACUUUUAGUCUAUAAAUUCAGUUUUUGUUGUAAUUAUUAAUUGUGGAUCUCAGUAAGAUUCUUUCAAUUCCUGUUUCAUUAAAUAAUUUUCUUGUCUUUUUGUCAUAUGGUAUCAGAACCAAGUUUAAAGUCCUUGUUUUAUUCACUCUUCUCGUCUAUCAAGUGUUGUCUUUUUGGAGAAAGGUGGACUCUGUUGCAAGAAAAUUCUUUAGUUUGAAACAUGGAAUUCUUUAGUGGAGGAAAUGGUUCUAAUACACAAAAUGGUGUUGAGAAACUAGUUGGCACAAACGACAAGUACUGGAGAAUGUGUAUGGAAGCUUACCUUCAAGGCCAAGAUCCGUGGGAAUUGGUUGUUGGUACUGAUUCAACAAUUCCAGAUGACACUCUUGAUAAUGCUGAACCACGACGGAAGUGGAAGAUCAGGUGUGGCAAAGCAAAGAGCUCAUUGAUGGUGUUCGUGAUGUUAAUUCUCCAAUUCAAGUUUGGGAAACUCUUGAGAGGUUGUUUUCUAAGAAGAAUACAGCAAGGUUGCAAUUUUUGGAGAAUGAAUUGGCAAUGACAAUACAAGGAAGUAUGUCAAUUUCAGAAUAUUUUUUACGAAUUAAAAGUAUUUGAGCUGAAAUUUUAGAACUAGAUGUUGAUGAGAAGAUCAGUGAAGCACGAUUACGGCGAUUCCUUAUUCACGGCAUAAAUAAAGAAUAUUCUCCUUUUGUUACCUCCAUCCAAGGAAGGGCCACUCAACCAUCAGUUGAGGAGUUAGAGAAUUUGCUCUCCAAUCAAGAGUCAUUGGCGAAGCAAAUGGCCAGCAAAUUCAAUUUUGAAUCAAAUGCUGCUUUUUUAUCAAAAGGAAAGUCUAAACAGAAGGAUAAUGAUGGCAGUCCACAAAGAAACAACUUGACCAAGUGCUAUAGAUGCGGGAAAAUUGGACAUAUAAAGAAAUAUUGUCGUGUGAAGCUUUCCAAAGCAAACAUUGCAAUUGAAUAUGAAGAAGAUGAUCAACUCAAGUGGGAGCACUGUUUUGCUACUAAAACAAUUGAAAGAGAGGAUGGUGCUCUUAAUGAUGACUGGAUCAUUGAUUCUGGUUGCUCGCAUCAUAUGACUGGCAAUGAUUAUUUACUUUCAGGCGUACGAUAGCAUAAUGGAGAACGAGUAAUUGUCACAUCUGAUAAUUCAACUUACCCAGUAGUAAAAGAAGUAGUUGUGAAGAUUAAGGUUGCCGAUGUUGCAAAGAUCCAAAGUGUCUUGUUGAAUGAUGUGUAUCAUGUCCUAGGUUUGAAGAAAAAUUUAGGAGUUGUUCUCUUCAUGUUUGAGUUUUUAGUUUUGAGUUUUGAAUAUCAUUUUGGGUUUUGUGUUUUGAGAUAGAUGGGUCAAUCGAUAGGUAUAAAGAUUAUCUCAUUGCUCGUGGUUUCUUUCAAAGCUAUGGCUUGGACAACGAAGAAACCUCCAGUUUAGUAUCAAAAAUGGUGAUUGUCAGGUCAAUUUUUUCACUUGCUGCCUUUAGAAGUUGGAAGUUGUGGCAACUUGAUGUGAAGAAUGCAUUUCUUUAUGUAGAAUUAGAUCGUGAUGUCUUCAUGGAAUGACCCCAAGGGUUCAUCUCCAAACAAUUUCCGCACCACGUUUGUCGGUUGAAGAAAGCACCAUAUGGAUUGAAACAAGCACCA
rnacentral:lncRNA from 1 species